rnacentral:rRNA from 1 species
GACGAACGCUGGCGGCGUGCUUAACACAUGCAAGUCGAACGGAAAGGCCCUGCUUUUGUGGGGUGCUCGAGUGGCGAACGGGUGAGUAACACGUGAGUAACCUGCCCUUGACUUUGGGAUAACUUCAGGAAACUGGGGCUAAUACCGGAUAGGAGCUCCUGCUGCAUGGUGGGGGUUGGAAAGUUUCGGCGGUUGGGGAUGGACUCGCGGCUUAUCAGCUUGUUGGUGGGGUAGUGGCUUACCAAGGCUUUGACGGGUAGCCGGCCUGAGAGGGUGACCGGCCACAUUGUGACUGAGAUACGGCCCAGACUGCUACGGGAGGCAGCAGUGGGGAAUAUUGCACAAUGGGCGGAAGCCUGAUGAAGCAACGCCGCGUGCGGGAUGACGGCCUUCGGGUUGUAAACCGCUUUCGCCUGUGACGAAGCGUGAGUGACGGUAAUGGGUAAAGAAGCACCGGCUAACUACGUG